rnacentral:rRNA from 1 species
GACAGAGGAUGCAAGCGUUAUCCGGAAUGAUUGGGCGUAAAGCGUCUGUAGGUGGCUUUUUAAGUCCUCCGUCAAAUCCCAGGACUCAACCCCGGACAGGCGGUGGAAACUGUGAGACUAGAGUGUGGUAGGGGCAGAGGGAAUUCCAGGUGUAGCGGUGAAAUGCGUAGAUAUCUGGAAGAACACCAGUGGCGAAGGCGCUCUGCUGGGCCAUAACUGACACUGAGGGACGAAAGCUAGGGGAGCGAAAGGG